rnacentral:rRNA from 1 species
CCUACGGGUGGCAGCAGUGGGGAAUAUUGCACAAUGGGGGAAACCCUGAUGCAGCGACGCCGCGUGAGUGAAGAAGUAUUUCGGCACGUAAAGCUCUAUUAGUAGGGAAGAAAAUGAGGGUUCGUGAUUAAGAAGCACCUGCUAAUUACGUGCCAGCAGCCGCGGUAAUACGUAGGGGGCAAGCGUGGGCCGGAUUUACUGGGUGUAAAGGGAGCGUAGGCGGCAGCACAAGUCUGGAGUGAAAUGCCGGGGCUUAACCUCGGAACUGCAUUGGAAACUGUGCAGCUUGAGUGCAGGAGAGGAGAGUGGAAUUCCAAGUGUAGCGGUGAAAUGCGUAGAUAUUAGGAGGAACACCAGUGGCGAAGGCGGCUUACUGGACUGUAACUGACGUUGAGGCUCGAAAGCGUGGGGAGCAAACAGGAUUAGAUACCCUAGUAGUC